UUACGAGGAAGCUAAGCACACAAACGCUAUCUUCAAAAGUUCCGAUCUCUCUCUCCCAAAAAGCGUUCAUCAGUUCGCCGGAGAUUACGAGGAAUACAAACCCCACCAUCGGCGGCACCGAUAAGAUACAUUUUUAUUACGAUUCCAACUGUAUUCUACCAUUUUUGUUUCUUAUUUUACUUUAUGUGAAGGAAUGUAGCUUGGCACCCAACGUAUCCCUUAACUAGAAAAUGUCCGAAACCAAUACAGAGAAUCGAAAUAAGUUGAAGUAUCUGCACACUACUGGCAGAACAAGCUUUGCUCUAAAUCGCGAGGCUAAAAAUGGAGAGAAUACAAUCAACUCAGGAAAGUGAAGAUGGUAGUCAUUCAGUUGACGCUUUUUCAUCGGUCAUGGGACCUGAACAUCCAGGUCGCGUGAGAUUGUAUGGACGAGUGGUUACCAAGACUGUAUUAAAAGGGCAAAUAGGGAAUCUUGGAUCUUCUUUAGAUACUACUAAUGAGAGGAUGCAGCAGAAAAUGGAUGAGAGGAUACAACAAAGAAUGCAUGAAAAGUUGAAUUAACAAAAGAACGCUAUGGAACAAAAUAUUACAAUGAACGUCAUCGUACGACUUCAGCAUCUGAACCUAGAUUUGUGACUUGAUCCUGACAUGUUAAGGUUUAGUGCACGUUCACCUGUAGAAGUUUCCUCUGCACAACAAGCUUCUGUUUAACUAAACAGUCAACCAUCUGUUGGUAGUAACAAUCAAGGUGGAGUAGAUCAAGAAAUGGAUGAUGAAAAAGAACUAGACCUUACUUGAGAUGAAUUUUGAAUUGUUAUAGAUGAAUGUUCUAGGAAUCUUUUGUUAUCAAUAUUUUUUAAACUUACUCUCUUGAAAUGUACUAAACUUAUGCACUUGGGGUAGAACAUUUGCUUUAUGGAUAUUAUUUGCUUAAUGAAUAAUUUUAUAUUAUUAAUAGUUUCAUUU